GAUGAGCGCUAGCUACAGGCUUAACACAUGCAAGUCGAGGGGAAACGGCAUUGAGUGCUUGCACUCUUUGGACGUCGACCGGCGCACGGGUGAGUAACGCGUAUCCAACCUUCCCAUUACUGUGGGAUAACCUGCCGAAAGGCAGACUAAUACCGCAUAGUCUUCGAUGACGGCAUCAGAUUUGAAGUAAAGAUUUAUCGGUAAUGGAUGGGGAUGCGUCUGAUUAGCUUGUUGGCGGGGUAACGGCCCACCAAGGCUACGAUCAGUAGGGGUUCUGAGAGGAAGGUCCCCCACAUUGGAACUGAGACACGGUCCAAACUCCUACGGGAGGCAGCAGUGAGGAAUAUUGGUCAAUGGACGGAAGUCUGAACCAGCCAAGUAGCGUGCAGGAUGACGGCCCUAUGGGUUGUAAACUGCUUUUGUAUGGGGAUAAAGUUAGGGACGUGUCCCUAUUUGCAGGUACCAUACGAAUAAGGACCGGCUAAUUCCGUG
rnacentral:rRNA from 1 species